rnacentral:lncRNA from 1 species
AUUACAAGAGCACCUCCUCCCCCAACCCCAGGAGGCCCCGCUCCCCAGGCCUCGGCCGGCGCGGACCCCUGGUUGCCCCGGGGUCGAGAGCAGCCGGGGAGAGCUGAGUUCAGAGCCCAGAGUUGGACAUCAGGCCACACGCUGAGAGGGUAGUAAAUGAAAGGGAGUCCGGUUUAGUCGCGGGCAGGGCAUCUCCUCUUCUGCUUGUCUAAAAGUCGCUGGGUGCAGGGGAAGCAAUACUAAGCGGGAAUUUCUUUUUAGUGGCAUCUACACAAUUUGCCUUUCCUGGUUUUUGUUUUGUUUUGUUUUGUUUCCUAAGGAGGGGGAGGCUCUGUAGAGGAAGCUUCGGCCCUGGGUGCCCCUGGGUUGGGAGCAGUCGGGGAGCGCUGAGCCAGGGCGCACGCCCUGUCGGCGCUGCGGGUGUGGGGCGCAGGAGUCCUUCUGGCCGGCCCCUCCGCCCCCCGGGGAGGCUGGAGCUCUCCAAGGCCGGGGAGCCUCCCGAAGCGCGCUGCCCCCUCUGUUCUCCGCGUGCUUUCACUAGGGCCCCAUGCUGCUUAGUGGCCGAUUUGCAGGGAAUCUGGGCACAAUCUUAAUAACACCAGGGCCAAAAAUAACAACGUUCCUGGGAACCGAGCAGCUGGAGCGCACCCCAUGGACGCUGGGCCAUCUCCCCGGGGACUAGUGCCUGACAGAGCUGACAGAGUUCUAGGCCACAUGUGGGCUAGAAGGAACCGCCAUGUCUACCACAGCACAGUCCUUAAGCAGGAGCCUUUUGAAGCACUUGGACUCAAAACAAUGGCUGUUUGUUGUUGUUGUUGUUGUUGUUUGUUUGUUUUGAGGGAGCCAGAAAGCUAAAAAAUGUAAAAGAAGCAGGUCACAUUAGACAUGAUUUCAGACAGCCUCCCCGAAGGACAGAUGAUCUCACUUGGCAACACAUACUGGGCCAGGCUCACUCAUGAGGGGGCAGCGUGGCAUGCACCCCACUCAGGGGCAAGAAUGAAGCUUAAAUAUUAGCUGACUCAGAACAUAGCAAGUGCUCAGUAAUGGCUUCUGGAACGAACCCGUGGUUGUCACCAGCAGGAGUGACGAAAGCUAGAAGCCGUUUCACCAUCCAAGGAAGAGGAGGAACAAUAUUUUUCUCUUUGGAGUUCCCACACUCAGAAGAGAGAACACCAGCAUAUGAACACAGAGUGUCACAUGAUGUAGGAAACAUCCUAUCCAGUCAUUGUGAAGAAACGGAGGCACGGGGAGAUUAAGAGAGCUACUUAAGAAGACACGGUGCCAGGUUUCUACCCAAGCCAUUUGGAUCUAGGGUCUGGAGGCCAUGUGAGCCAUUUUGCAUUAGAUUAACGCUUUAAUUCAGUUCACAGUUAGACAAUAUACGUUCCCCAUCUAUAUCUAUACCCAUCUGGAAGGCAACAAAAAGAUAAUAAACUGAUAGUGUCAUGUGCCCAUGACCCAGCUAACAAAGAGGCUCUGGGUUCCAAUGCCCCAGUCUUUCAUGGGAUUCCAUCGACCUCAUGCCCUGCUCCCCUCCCCAACAGAGAUGGAAACAUUAUCCUGAAUUUUGUGUUUAUCAUCCCUUGUUUCUCUCUAUAGUUUUUCCACUUAUGGUUGUAUGAUUUUUGUUUGUUUGUUUUUUGAGACGGCAUCUCGCUCUGUCACCAGGCUGGAGUGCAGUGGCGUGAUCUCGGCUCUACCUCCCAGGUUCAAGCCAUCCUCCUGCCUCAUCCUCCCGAGUAGCUGGGACUACAGGCACACGCCACCAUGCCCAGCUAAUUUUUGUAUUUUUAGUAGAGACGGGGUUUCACCUUAUGGUUGUAUCUUUAAACAAUGUCUUGUUUAGUUUUGCCAUGUUUUUGGACUGUGAAUAAGUAGAAUUAUUAUGCUGUGUGAAUUCUUCUGCUACUUGCAUUUUUGCUGCAACGUCAUGUUCCUGAAAUUCAGCCAGGAUUCAUUUAUUCCUUUUCACUGCUGUGUGAUAUCCCAUUGUAGGCAAAUAGUACACAAUAUUUAUUUAUUUUCCAGAUGGGAUCUCAUUCUGUCACCCAGGCUUGUAGUGCAGUGACCCCAUCACGAUUCACUGCAGCCUUGAACUCCUGGGCUCAAGCAAUCCUCCUGCCUCAGCCUCCUGAGUUGCUAAGGCCACAAAUAUUUAUCCAUUUUACUGCUAAUGCAAUUUGAGCUGUUUUCAACUUUUUCCUAUUAAAACAUUAUUGCUAUGAACAUUCUUAUAAAA